CCUUCUCCGCCCGUUCCUUUUCUCCUUCUUCCUCGCGCCGGUUUCCUCUCCCAAACCCGAUCUUCUCCUCAUCUCUCUCGCGUGCGCACACUCUCCCCUCUGCCGCCGGCGACGAGAGCCGCCUCUCCUCUACUCUGCACAGUGUCGACGCCGGACGGAAGUGCUGCCGGUCUUCCGUGCGUGCCCUAACUUCCUUCCCUGAUCCCAAGCGGUUUUUCCUUCUACUCCUCUGCCGCCGGUGACUAGGGCCACAGUCGACUCCCUGUUGCCCUGGCCGCGGAGAGAUCGAGCACAGGACUACGGCCGAUCAAGCCCCCAGCCCGAUUCUCUCCUCUUUGCUCCAAGCCGUGCCCUAGUUAGGGUACACAGCCGUCGGUGGCCACAGAUUUCACUUCCUCCCUUCUCUGUGUCGUGCCCUAGGUCAUAGCCAACAAGUGAGGUUGUGUGCUGUGAGGCUUGCUUGUUCUUGGUUCCGGCAGCCUUCUUUCCAACAGCUACUUGUUGGUUGCGGAUCUAGAGCAGUGUGUGAAUUGAGGAUCUUGACGCGAGACGAGUAUCUCGGAGUCGGAUUUGGACCACUUUAUUGGAGGCG